CCCUAGGGAAAGUUGAAAAGGACUUUGAAAAGAGAGUGCAGAGACGUGAACCGGUGUAAUGGAAGCAUAUGGAGUUGACGUAUCUGGUACGUAUUCAGCUGUCAGAAUUUGUGAUUGCUGGGUGUGGUAUUCCGCAAGGUUGCCCGCUUGGUAUUGUUGCGAGUUUGGCGGUGCAUUUGCGUGCGGAGUGCGCCGAGUCGUGUGCUGGCGUCGAUCGAAACUAUUCGAGAGGACAUGGCUUCGGUCGUGAAACCUUGUGUGGUGGAGGUUGGUUGCUGGUGCGCGGUUUUGUGGAAGUGCGGGUUUUUCGCGCGCUUGUAUGUUGAUUGGGCCGGUUUGUGUUGUACGCUUGCGUGCGGCGCUUAUGGGUUUAGUCGAUGUGCGAGUGUGCUCUGCGCUCUUCUCGGUGUAUAGUCAAUGACCCAUUUGACCCGUCUUGAAACACGGACCAAGGAGUUUAUGGUAUACGCGAGUCAUUGGGUUCAUGAAACCCAAAGGCGUAAUGAAAGUGAGACCUUACUGGUUUUAAUGUGAACGGUUGGUGUUUCGACGUCGUCCGUGCAACAUUGCCCCGUUUCGAGGACUUGUCCUGUUGCGGAGGUUGAGCGUAUGCUAUGAGACCCGAAAGAUGGUGAACUAUGCCUGUACAGGAUGAAGCCAGAGGAAACUCUGGUGGAAGUCCGAAGCGGUUCUGACGUGCAAAUCGAUCGUCUGAUAUUGGUAUAUAGCGCAGACUAAUCGAACCAUCAGAG
rnacentral:rRNA from 1 species